CUGUCCCCUGGGUUACAGGGCCAGAAUCUGCUGGAAGCCCAGCACGGGCCCACCCGCAUCCUGCCAGGUUCCCCCAGGGCUGCUCCAGUGCCUCUGUGCCGCCUGGAGCCAGGCCCGCCUUCUCCAUGGCCGCCCUGGCCCCUAGGGCCACCAGUCCCGCUAUGCAGGUUUCCAGGGAGAGAAUGCGGUGCUCUGACCUGACUGGAUGCUGCCCCUUACCACAUCCCUUCCUGGCAGGCAGGGCCUCCACUUCUUUCCACAAAUUUACCUAAGACCUUCCCGCAGGUCCUUCAGGUGGUCAUGGCCCAGCUGGGCUUUGAACCCGGGCUGUGUGAUUCCACAGCUGGCACUCUGGCCUGUGUGCCUCAUGAUCACGGAUACAGCACGUAUUCUUAUUUAUUCCUGUAGUCCUGGGGUACUUCGCACCGUGGCAUAUCUGUAAUAAGCACAUGCACACCUAGAAGGAGGUCUUCACUUCAACAUAUAAGUUGACCAUGGCCCACUGUGGGCUCCAGUCCUCUACAAAGAUGUAGGGCAGGGACUACCCAUUGUCAGCACUGCACCAUCCCACAUUGCUCUUCUAAUGGAGCAUUCAGCCCAGAAGUUUUUUCUUAUCUAGUGGGAAGGAUCCAAGUAUGUAAAGCUUAUGUUCUACAUCAGCUUUGGUCUAUCCUGAAAGAAAUUCACCAGGGGAAUUAUUCCAUAUUGAUAAGAAGCCAGUUUCUUUGGCCUUCCUGGAAUAUGUCUUGAAAGCAAAUGUGUCAUUUAUUUGCAAGUUAAUAGUGGAGCAAUGUAUUGGAUUAAAAUAUGAUCAACGAAAUUUGGUCAUUGUGAGCAUGCCAGCUGGAUCCACUCUUCACCACCCAUUAACACCUAAAUAUAAUUUCAGAUCUUAUGCCCAAGAGAAGGACAUACUCUUGGGUGUCUGGACAAGGAGAACAUGCAUGAAAAAUCAACAAUUCUUCUUACCCAUCAGGAUACGCAUUGAGCACUCUUCAUCUAACAGCCCUGACCCAUGCAGAACCUGCACCCAAGAAUCAAGCUCAGGCUUUUUGGCCACUUCUGGUUUAACCUCUGGCCCCUUUAUGACUGCACUGAUAACUCGAGGAGGAGUCUGGCCAGAUGCCUGCUGA
rnacentral:lncRNA from 1 species